CCUACGGGAGGCAGCAGCAGGGAAUAUUGCGCAAUGGGCGAAAGCCUGACGCAGCGACGCCGCGUGGGGGAAGAAGGCCUUCGGGUUGUAAACCCCUUUUCUCAGGGAAGAAGCUCUGACGGUACCUGAGGAAUAAGCCUCGGCAAACUACGUGCCAGCAGCCGCGGUAAUACGUAGGAGGCGAGCGUUAUCCGGAUUUACUGGGCGUAAAGAGGGCGCGGGCGGCCUGUCAAGUCCGGGGUGAAAUCUCCUGGCUCAACCGGGAGGGGUUUCCGGAUACUGGCGGGCUUGAGGGCAGCAGAGGGAGGUGGAAUUCCCGGUGUAGUGGUGAAAUACGCAGAUAUCGGGAGGAACACCAGUGGCGAAGGCGGCCUCCUGGGCUGUCCCUGACGCUGAGGCCCGAAAGCGUGGGGAGCAAACAGGAUUAGAUACCCUAGUAGU
rnacentral:rRNA from 1 species